rnacentral:rRNA from 1 species
GUGUCAGCCGCCGCGGUAAUACGUAGGCAGCAAGCGUUGUUCGGAGUUACUGGGCGUAAAGAGUGCGUAGGCGGUGCCCCAAGUCUGUUGUGAAAUCUCCCGGCUUAACUGGGAGGGUGCGGUGGAAACUGGGGUGCUUGAGUGUGGGAGAGGUAAGCGGAAUUCCUGGUGUAGCGGUGAAAUGCGUAGAUAUCAGGAGGAACACCGGUGGUGUAGACGGCUUACUGGACCACGACUGACGCUGAGGCACGAAAGCGUGGGUAGCAAACAGGAUUAGAAACCCCGGUAGUCC